rnacentral:rRNA from 1 species
UGGGGAAUUUUGGACAAUGGGCGCAAGCCUGAUCCAGCCAUGCCGCGUGCAGGAUGAAGGCCUUCGGGUUGUAAACUGCUUUUGUACGGAACGAAAAGGUGCCUUCUAAUAAAGGGCGCUCAUGACGGUACCGUAAGAAUAAGCACCGGCUAACUACGUGCCAGCAGCCGCGGUAAUACGUAGGGUGCGAGCGUUAAUCGGAAUUACUGGGCGUAAAGCGUGCGCAGGCGGUUUUGUAAGACAGAGGUGAAAUCCCCGGGCUCAACCUGGGAACUGCCUUUGUGACUGCAAAGCUGGAGUGCGGCAGAGGGGGAUGGAAUUCCGCGUGUAGCAGUGAAAUGCGUAGAUAUGCGGAGGAACACCGAUGGCGAAGGCAAUCCCCUGAGCCUGCACUGACGCUCAUGCACGAAAGCGUGGGGAGCAAACA